UACGGAGGAUCCGAGCGUUAUCCGGAUUUAUUGGGUUUAAAGGGUGCGUAGGCGGCUUUUUAAGUCAGGGGUGAAAGACGGUAGCUUAACUAUCGCAGUGCCUUUGAUACUGAAGAGCUUGAAUGAACUAGAGGUAGGCGGAAUGUGACAAGUAGCGGUGAAAUGCAUAGAUAUGUCACAGAACACCAAUUGCGAAGGCAGCUUACUAUGGUUUUAUUGACACUGAGGCACGAAAGCGUGGGGAUCAAACAGG
rnacentral:rRNA from 1 species